CCAUCAGGUCGACAAGGUAAGGCAUAGCCGACCGCCACCUUCAAUGUUAGGUUUUGGCAUUCCACAAUUAGCUCGCAAUGUUCCCUCUGCGUGAUACCAUCCACGGGGUAGUGAGAAGCCAUGAUAUCAGGUUGAAUGAGCUUAGUGGAAGCCACACUGCUUUUUCGCUGAGAUGGUGGCGUAGCUUCGUGUAUCGAAUGAAGGAGCUACGUGCUGUUAAGAAGCUCGUUCACUUGUAUAUGCCUCUAGUUUCUUCUCCUGCAGCGAUAAUCUUUUUUCCAUCCUCUGCAUCUGGUAUGCUUCCUCUCUCUUCUUUCUCCCUCA
rnacentral:lncRNA from 1 species